GACGAACGCUGGCGGCGUGCUUAACACAUGCAAGUCGAACGGAAAGGCCCUGCUUUUGCGGGGUGCUCGAGUGGCGGACGGGUGAGGAAUACAUCGGAAUCUACUUUUUCGUGGGGGAUAACGUAGGGAAACUUACGCUAAUACCGCAUACGACCUACGGGUGAAAGCAGGGGAUCUUCGGACCUUGCGCGGUUGAAUGAGCCGAUGUCGGAUUAGCUAGUUGGCGGGGUAAAGGCCCACCAAGGCGACGAUCCGUAGCUGGUCUGAGAGGAUGAUCAGCGACACUGGAACUUAGACACGGUCCAGACUCCUACGGGAGGCAGCAGUGGGGAAUAUUGGACAAUGGGCGCAAGUCUGAUCCAGCCAUACCGCGUGGGUGAAGAAGGCCUUCGGGUUGUAAAGCCCUUUUGUUGGGAAAGAAAAGCAGCAGGUUAAUACCCCGCUGUUCUGACGGUACCCAAAGAAUAAGCACCGGCUAACCUCGUG
rnacentral:rRNA from 1 species